rnacentral:rRNA from 1 species
AUGCACGCUGGCGGCGUGCCUCAUCCAUGCAAGUCGCGCGCACGGACGAGAAGCUUGCUUCUCUGAUGUUAGCGGCGGACGGGUGAGUAACACGUGGAUAACCUACCUAUAAGACUGGGAUAACUUCGGGAAACCGGAGCUAAUACCGGAUAAUAUUUUGAACCGCAUGGUUCAAAAGUGAAAGACGGUCUUGCUGUCACUUAUAGAUGGAUCCGCGCUGCAUUAGCUAGUUGGUAAGGUAACGGCUUACCAAGGCAACGAUGCAUAGCCGACCUGAGAGGGUGAUCGGCCACACUGGAACUGAGACACGGUCCAGACUCCUACGGGAGGCAGCAGUGGGGAAUCUUCCGCAAUGGGCGAAAGCCUGACGGAGCAACGCCGCGUGAGUGAUGAAGGUCUUCGGAUCGUAAAACUCUGUUAUUAGGGAAGAACAUAUGUGUAAGUAACUGUGCACAUCUUGACGGUACCUAAUCAGAAAGCCACGGCUAACUACGUG